GUCGAUUUUGAUCCCAUUUAGAAGGUACACUUGGCUGUUGGAUUUUCUUUCUUCACAGAUAAUUAAGCUUCAAUAAUUGCAUGAAUUAAGUGGUCAUAUAAAUUAUUAGGAGUAAAGUGAAAACAUAAGAAACACAGAAUCACACGUUUGCGCACUACCCAGGAGACUAGUUGUUUUGCGAUAUGUCCAGUUGCUUCUUUGAUGGAGGUUAGAGAAUGUUUGUUUAUUUUUUGCGCAGCUCAUUUUAGUAAUACACAGGAAAUGACACAGGAAGGCACUCUUGCAGAGAGCAAUAAACAAGGUGAAAUAAAAGAUGUGUCUAAACCAGCGAUUAUUUCCUGUAAGUCAAGACUCAUCUCGGUCCACACAAAAGAUUAAUUUUCUGAAGCAGCAAUAUAUGUCUACAUGCAAGAAGGUUCUGACACGUCAAUCAGUCUUACAAAACAAAUGCUGUUAACAGAACAACUGUUCUCCAAGCACCAUGACCACUUGCAGUGCCUCCAUCCCUCUGCCUAGCCCAUCCUUGUUGAUUACAUUUGGUAACGUCUUUGGAACAUGUAACAUCCCCAUCUUUACUGCUCUCACUGUAAAAAUAAAGAAAUUCCAUCUACUGCUAAAGUAACAUUUCAUUCCUAGGGUAGAUCCUUCUGACUUACAGCAAUGGACAAGUCACCAGACAGUUCAUGUGGUCAACAUGGACAUAUUGAUGUUAAGUUAUCUUAUCCUGUCUCAGAUAUCUCUUUACUGCAGUAAGCAGACUCAAUAUUCCACACAUUAUUUAUUCAGA